rnacentral:rRNA from 1 species
UACGUAGGGUGCGAGCGUUAAUCGGAAUUACUGGGCGUAAAGCGUGCGUAGGCGGUUCGUUAAGUGCGUCGUGAAAGCCCCGGGCUCAACCUGGGAAUGGCGAUGGAAACUGGCGGGCUGGAGUAUGGCAGAGGGGGGUGGAAUUCCGCGUGUAGCAGUGAAAUGCGUAGAUAUUCGGAAGAACACCAGUGGCGAAGGCGACUUACUGGACGAUUGUUGACGCUGAGGUGCGAAAGCGUGGGGAGCAAACAGG